rnacentral:tRNA from 1 species
GGGGCCGUGGUGUAGCUCGGUCUAACACGCCACCCUGUCACGGUGGAGACCGCGGGUUCAAAUCCCGUCGGCCCCG